GCGGCCGCUCUGUUUGUUCCUGGCGGAGGUUACUGCUAUCGAGGUUCGACUAAGCCAUGCGAGUCGAAUGUAGCAAUACAUGGCGUACUGCUCAGUAACACGUGGACAACCUACCCUUAGGUCGGGGAUAAACCCGGGAAACUGGGUAUAAUACCCGAUAGAUCUCGUCUGCCGGAAUGCAUCGAGAUCGAAAGCUCCGGCGCCUAAGGAUGGGUCUGCGGCCUAUCAGGUAGUAGUGGGUGUAGCGUACCUACUAGCCUACGACGGGUACGGGUUGUGAGAGCAAGAGCCCGGAGAUGGAUUCUGAGACACGAAUCCCAGGCCCUACGGGGUGCAGCAGGCGCGAAAACUUUACAAUGCUGGCAACAGCGAUAAGGGGACCUCGAGUGCCAGGAUACAAUCUUGGCUGUCGUAAUGCCUAAAAAGCAUUGCAUAGCAAGGGCCGGGCAAGACCGGUGCCAGCCGCCGCGGUAACACCGGCGGCUCGAGUGGUAACCGCUAUUAUUGGGUCUAAAGGGUCUGUAGCCGGCCGGAUAAGUCUUUUGGGAAAUCCAGCUGCUCAACAGUUGGGCUUUCAGAAGAUACUGUUCGGCUCGAGACCGGGAGAGGUGAGAGGUACUUCAGGGGUAGGGGUGAAAUCUUGUAAUCCUUGAAGGACCACCAGUGGCGAAGGCGUCUCACCAGAACGGAUCUGACGGCAAGGGACGAAAGCUAGGGGCACGAACCGGAUUAGAUACCCGGGUAGUCCUAGCCGUAAACGAUACUCGCUAGGUGUCAGCCACGGUGCGACCGUGGGUUGGUGCCGUAGGGAAGCUGUGAAGCGAGCCACCUGGGAAGUACGGCCGCAAGGCUGAAACUUAAAGGAAUUGGCGGGGGAGCACUACAACGGGUGGAGCUGCGGUUUAAUUGGAUUCAACGCCGGAAAGCUUACCGGGACCGACAGCGAUAUGAAGGCCAGGCUGAAGACCUUGCCGGAUUAGCUGAGAGGUGGUGCAUGGCCGUCGUCAGUUCGUACUGUGAAGCAUCCUGUUAAGUCAGGCAACGAGCGAGACCC
rnacentral:rRNA from 1 species